rnacentral:rRNA from 1 species
GAUGAACGCUGGCGGCGUGCCUAAUACAUGCAAGUCGAGCGAACGGACGAGAAGCUUGCUUCUCUGAUGUUAGCGGCGGACGGGUGAGUAACACGUGGAUAACCUACCUAUAAGACUGGGAUAACUUCGGGAAACCGGAGCUAAUACCGGAUAAUAUUUUGAACCGCAUGGUUCAAAAGUGAAAGACGGUCUUGCUGUCACUUAUAGAUGGAUCCGCUCUGCAUUAGCUAGUUGGUAAGGUAACGGCUUACCAAGGCAACGAUGCAUAGCCGACCUGAGAGGGUGAUCGGCCACACUGGAACUGCAACACGGUCCAGACUCCUACGGGAGGCAGCAGUAGGGAAUCUUCCGCAAUGGGCGAAAGCCUGACGGAGCAACGCCGCGUGAGUGAUGAAGGUCUUCGGAUCGUAAAACUCUGUUAUUAGGGAAGAACAUAUGUGUAAGUAACUGUGCACAUCUUGACGGUACCUAAUCAGAAAGCCACGGCUAACUACGUG